ACUCCUACGGGAGGCAGCAGUGGGGAAUAUUGCACAAUGGGGGAAACCCUGAUGCAGCCAUGCCGCGUGUGUGAAGAAGGCCUUGGGUUGUAAAGCACUUUCAGUAGGGAGGAAGGUAGUGUAGUUAACACCUGCAUUAUUUGUACGUUACCUACAGAAGAAGCACCGGCUAACUCCGUGCCAGCAGCCGCGGUAAGUACGGAGGGUGCGAGCGUUAAUCGGAAUUACUGGGCGUAAAGCGCAUGCAGGCGGCUUGUUAAGUCAGAUGUGAAAGCCCGGGGUCUUAACCUCGGAAUUGCAUUUGAAACUGGCAGGCUAGAGUCUUGUAGAGGGGUUAGAAUUUCAGGUGUAGCGGUGAAAUGCGUAGAGAUCUGAAGGAAUACCAGUGGCGAA
rnacentral:rRNA from 1 species